AGUUUGAUCCUGGCUCAGGACGAACGCUGGCGGCGUGCUUAACACAUGCAAGUCGAGCGGAAAGGCCCUUCGGGGUACUCGAGCGGCGAACGGGUGAGUAACACGUGAGUAAUCUGCCCUCCACUUUGGGAUAGCCACCGGAAACGGUGAUUAAUACCGGAUAUGACCUGUGCCCGCAUGGGUGUUGGUGGAAAGUUUUUCGGUGGGGGAUGUGCUCGCGGCCUAUCAGCUUGAUGGUGGGGUAAUGGCCUACCAUGGCUUCGACGGGUAGCCGGCCUGAGAGGGUGACCGGCCACACUGGGACUGAGACACGGCCCAGACUCCUACGGGAGGCAGCAGUGGGGAAUAUUGGACAAUGGGCGGAAGCCUGAUCCAGCAACGCCGCGUGAGGGAUGACGGCCUUCGGGUUGUAAACCUCUUUCGGUGGGGACG
rnacentral:rRNA from 1 species